rnacentral:rRNA from 1 species
ACGAAUGCAGCUAAAGUAGCUCCCCUUCAGGCUCAGGAAGUGUCGAAUCAGCUUGCUGGCCGGUGGAAGCCGCAAGGCUCCAGCGGUUGGACGGCUGGUUGACUGAUCUGCACUCCUGGGGGGAGCUGGCCAACAACAGUUGCCUCUGGCUCACGAGGGUGUUUGGGUAGGUAGCCUCCUCGUCUCGAGGUGGAACUUAUAGCCAUCCAUCUGGCAGUCUGGAGACGACUGAGGAGAGAUGUGAACUUUCACACUUGCAGCACAGGCCCUCCUGGGCUGGGCCGCCUCUUUCCGUUUGGGUACCGCUCCGGGGACUGCUUGCAGUGUCCGCUGACGAAUGCCUGCUUGGUGGGGGGAAUGGUCACGCCUUGUGCUGCAGUU